UAGUUUUGUAAAUAAACAGGUCAAUACAAGUUGAAGCUUGAAGCACGUUUUUGACACUUUGACAGUGAUUGACAGUUAAUAAUACUUGAAUUUAUUAUUAAAUAAAAAUAUUUAUUAGUCACUGAUAAAUAAACAGUUUAUAAAAUUUAAUGACAACCGAUAAAAAGUUAAUAAUUAUCAUUAAAAAUUUGUAACGUUGAAGACAAAUUUUCCAUUGUGCCUUUAUCAUAAAUAAAUAAAUUUUUGUGAUAUAAAAUAAUUUAAUUACUCCAUCUUUCAAUGUUAUUUAUUUAAGCAAUAUAAUUAUCAUUAAAUUAUAAACAGUGUUAACAAAAUGAACAAACAACCAAUAGUUAUUAAUACUGAAUUUUCUCAGUUAAAAUCAUCACUCAAUUGCUCAUCAGCUGUUCCUGAUGACAAUCAAUUUAAAAAGACCAGGAAAAAAAGACGCAGGGAAGAUGACAUUAGCCCUGAUGAAUUUAAUUGUUCUUCUUCUGUUAUUAUUUACGAAAUUGACUGUGCUGAUUUCAAGAAGCCCAGGAUAAAUUAAUUAGUACAACAUUCAACAUUUCUUUUUUGUGUUUUUUUUUUAAUUCUAUAAUCUACACUGAGUUGAGUUCAAAAAAAAAAAAAGUAUUUUAUUUCUAUGAAAAUAAUAAUUUAAUUUAUGAUUAACAAUUAAAAAUAUUAUCACACAAUAACCUUGAUGGUUAAUUGUCUUGAUAAUAAAUCAUUAAAAUUUAUUUGUUAUAGGUAUGUGUUCUUUAAUUGUUCAUUAAAAUAAACAAUUAUAUAUUAAUUUAAUUAACAAAUUGACUAAUAAAUAAAUUAGUAAACAUAA